rnacentral:lncRNA from 1 species
CGUUUUUUUGCAGAUUGUUCUUGGAGAGCUUCAGUGCUCAGUACUUAGUAUAAUAAAUAAGAUGGGCCCUUAGGGCAUAAUAAUUAACCUAACAAAUGUUUAAGAAAGAUUUUUAACAAGGUAAGAGCAGGUCUUGUCACUUCAAAGGUGUAAGAGAUUAUUCUUUUGCACUAUUGUCUCAAAGUUUGCUGAGGAACACUGAUGGACACAUCCUGGGCAAGGGCUGAGAAAUCUUUUGUCUGAAGGACACAGACGGUAAAGUCCGGACAAGUCCUUCUCAAAGUUGGCGAAAUCUUUUGUCUGAAGAUUUUACAAGCCAGGGGCAACGAGAGAGAGAGAAAUCGCAGCUUAAUGGCCGGGAAGCAGUCUUUUGUGUGGGUUUAUCUCGAGGGAGAUAGCCAUCUCGGGGGGGUACUGCACAUGGCUCUUACCCAAGCUUACCCAAGCUCUUACCCACACUGGCAGAAGAAGAAGGAUAAAAAGGGAGCCAACAACCAAGAGAUUAGGUGUCAGACAUCAGAAGCCUCACGAGCUGAUGCCUGAAAGCUGAAGGACUCUCUUCUGGACCUGCUACCUGAGAUCUGCUGCUUCCUCCUGGACUUACCCAGCUGCUUGUUCCUGGCACCUGCUUGCAGCUUAAAGCCUGUCACGCUGCUGCUGCUCUCCCCCUGCGCUUUUGCCUCGGACAAUCGGAACAACAUACAACGGGACGCUGCUGGAUCUUGGUGCCUUCGAACUUCUUCCCCACAUGUCCCAGAAGAGGGAAGCGUCGUGCGAGGGGAAGCCCUGUCACUGUUGAUAUAAUCAAGUAAACAGCAACAAUGUGAUAAUACAAGAGAAAUGCAGAGGACUGGUAUUUUGUUUAGUGUCAGUGUGAGGACAAUGUUGGUAAUCUCUUUCAAAUUCUUUUCAAUAAAAACAAUCAACUAUUUGCAGGAAUAUUUGCCCUCUUGAUUUAGUGCAUGGUUCCCAGCUUAGAAUGCAGUUACAAAAUAUCUCUUUAAAAAAUAAUUCUUUAACAUCUGUAUUUUUAUAUGUAGUUGUUCUGAGUUUUAAAAUAUGUUCUGAUAAAGGAUCAUCCAGAUAUCUCUAAUAUCUGGUGACAAAAUUUUGUGCCAUAGCAUCAGUCAAAAUGAGACUCAGUCAAAACGUGACUCAGACAAAAUGUUUUGGUGUUGUAUCUACCAUAACACUGAUGAUAGAUGAGAAUGUUCUGUAUUUUGUCAUAUGGGCACAUAAAUCAUAAAAUAUGUCUUUAUACAUAUCAUGUUAUUUAGUGCACAUUUUCACCAACAACACCACAUGAUGCAAAGACGUUGAUACCAUACAUUUUCUGCAUUCUGUAGGCAUGGAGGAGUAUAGGAAGUUUGAUAGACAGCUAAGGAACAGGAGUCUCCUACAUCAGGAAGGAUACACACCUUGUAUACCAUCAUUUUUAGCACAUAUAUCUUCCUUAUAAGACAUGCACUCUAAAAAUUUGAAAUUUUGUCUUUGAUUCAGCAGUCAUUUGCUACUGACAGGGAUCUUGAACAAUACACCAGUCAACAAGUAGCAAUUCAAGUGCCCAGAAAUCUUAGACUGUGGGUAAUUUUACCAAUAAGUAAGCGAUGAUUUUAAAAAGCUAGAAGGAGACUUGGUAAUUCCCAAUACAUGUGAUGAUCUGAGCCUUAUGACUAGUCUUAUGUUAGCUUACAGUGAAGGAGAGAUUUCCCAGAGGUUUAUUGUUGUGGUUUAACCCAGCAGGUGGCUGAGCUUCAUGCAGUUGCUUGCUCACUCACUCCCCCUUUCCAAGUGGAAUGGGGGAGAGAAUCAGGAAAAAAAAAAAAAAAAAAAAAAAAAAGUAGAACUUAGUACAAAAAAAAGUAGAAUAAUGUACAGUACAGCUAAUUUUCAGAUGUCUGCUAACAUUUAAUUUAAAGCUUCACCAUUACUUUGUUUUUAUACAUCUUGUGUAAUCAUUUGACAAUUUUUUGAAAUGGUAGAUUAAUAUUAGUACGAAUGAGCUAGCAAGCUGUCCAAGGGUAAGUAGAAAGCAGAGGAAUGAGAAAGCCUGCUUAUGAAUAGUAAGCAAAAUAAAAACAAGUCAUGGUAAAGGAUUUAUUUUUUUUUUUUUUCUUUAAUAUUGCAUUGUAUAUAUUAACUGUGAAGCAAAUGACUGGAAAACAACAGUGAGCUAUUCAUGGUAUCAUGCUAAACUAUGGUAAAAAAUAAGCAUGUUUCCUAUUUAAAUGUUGAAGGUUUGAACAUUAUCUUUUAUUCUUCUCUGCGGUGGCAUGCAGAUCAAAAGAUGACAGUCACGUAGUAAAAUGCAUAUUUAUUAAUUUACAUUGUAGUAAUUUAAGCAAUUGUCGAAUAAUUUAGAUGUCUUGCAUAUAUUUACCUUCAUAACUGGGUUCUGAAAAUAAGAAGGCUAUAUUUGAACAGACUAUCAUGAAUGUGAAAAUAUAUUCCCAAAAAUAAGCAAAUUCAAGAAGAUUAUAUUGGUUUUGGUUUGCUUUGUUGUUUUAUUAUUUUAUCUUACUUUUUAAUUCAUCCUACCCGCAUAAGUGCCUAAGGAGAAUAUGCAGAGUCAUGUGCACUCCCUAACAGAUGCCUCCUAUUUUAAACACCACUGCCUAAUUAGAUGAGAACUGCACAAGGCAAAAUAGCAGAACCUGCAAGCAGAAUGAGGAACAUGUGGGAUUUACAUUUUUCAUUAGUCCAAAUCUGCACAUCCACUAACUCAAACAUUUUUGACCACAAGAUUAAAAAUCAGAAAAAUAUGAAAGAGUUAAGAGUUAGCAAAGGUAUCAGAGAUGAAUAUGAGGGCCUCAUCAGAGGCUGCCCAUUCCUAUUUCAGUUCUUUCUGCAGGUUGCUCUAAAUGCAUCUUGCUUGGUUCCCGACAGUGUUGUUCUCACUGAUGGAGAGUGAAGCCAGAAAGAAUAACCCUAAGGACAGUCACCCUAUUCCAGAAGAGAAAAAGAGUGUAAUGGACAAGGAGACUGUUCCCCCUCUGAUGAAAGAAAUCUACGUUAAAAAAAAAAGAAAGACUUUCAGAAGUAGGACUUGGAGGAUUAUACACAAUUUCAGGAUAACAAGGACUGCUGUUGUUUAAACAAGAAGCAAAAGAAACAACGGGAUGCCUACUGAACUCAAAACACUGAUGAAAUUUCCAUGAGAAUGGCCAACUUUGAGGAUUAAAUGGCAGCUAAUGUAACCUUAUUUUAAAAAGUUCUGUUUUGUUUUGUUUUAUUUUGUUUCCACUUUGAGUCUAUGAGACCUUGAAAUGUCAAGUUUACUCUUAUUAGUGUGUUGAUGUCAGUUAUGUUAGUGUGAUUGUAUAUGUAUUUCAGAGUAUGAUAGUUUUCUUCAAAAGAUUGUAAAGGAGAAAAAUAUAACAGAAACCACAAUUUAAUUCACUUUAUUAUAUGUAAAUAUAAGUAUUUUGUAGUAAUUAAUCUGAUACGGUAACUCAUCAUUAACUAUUGGGUAUGUGGUAGAUUUCCACAGAGAUUCAAGCAUUUUUUCUUGACGUUGCUACCAAACUCAAAAAUUAUACAAAAUCCUACUGAUUUUGUUCUAUCUAGAUUCCAACUAACUUAUUCCUAAUAUAAAUAAACAAAUAAAACAAACAGACAAAAAAAGCAACCCAAAGCCCCCAGAAUCCUAUAUGGCUUUUUAAAAUGUUUAUUUUAAAAAAAGAUUGAUUAAUCUUACCUGACAUUUUUUUAGCACAGAAGCUUCUAAAUAUAAUCAAGAGCACAAUGAGAACAAAUGUACUGUUAUAAAUUUGUACAUUAGUUUUUAAUGGAUUGUUCUCAUAAAUAUUUGGUGCAAUAAAAGAUCACAUAUUACUGAACAUUCUGUGCUUUUUUUUUUUCAGAUUUGUUUGGUUAAAAUGAGGUCAAAGAGUAAAUUUGUUAACCUUCUAACAGCAUGCUUUUGACUAUUAAAUAUUAUUUGGAUCAUUGUCUUCUAUUUUAUUUUAUUAAGUACUUGCAGAAAUGCGUCCAGUUUUUCUUAUGAAACAGUACCCAACUUUGAUACCUGACAUGGUUAAGAUCAAUAUUUUCAGUAUAAAAGUAAUACAUGUGUAAAAUUGUAACAUUGAUGAAGAACAGCAGAAUAUGAACAAUGACACAUUGAGUUUUCAUUUGCAAUUCCUCAAAUUGUAAGUAUGUGAUAGUUAUUAUUUGUUCAUAAGUUCUGAAGAAUACUAAAGAUUUCACCUUCCUGAGUGAUGUAUUUUAUCCUGUAACUUUUUUUAAGUAGUUACAUAACAAAAUCACCUAAAAACUAGGUAUUUCCAAAAUGCAAGAAGCGAGUGCUGAUAGUUACAAAAGGAUUUAUUAGCAUGCUGCAAAAGAUUGAGACAAGUGAGCAGCUCAUUACUGAUUUAGUAAGAGAGAAUGACCGUACUUGAUGACCUUGCUAGCUUGUCUUUACCUAUGUAUCUUUUCUUACAUGUGAAACAGAUAAAUGUGAGAAAUGCCAUUUCAUGGACACAUAAGCAUAAUUGUUCUUACUUUUAGUCUUAAUGUGCCCAACAAUCUCCUUUCUACCUUCUCCUCAUGGGACUUUGGUAGAGAAAAAUGUCACUGAACAAGAAGAAAUAAACAAUAAUGCAAAGUUCUAGUUAAAAAAAAAGGAUGGGUUAUCAGAAAUGGUCAAUAAAGAUAUUCUUCCUGUACUAAGGAAUGCAGUUAUAUCAGUUAGAAGUGUUAUUACAGAAAUCCUUAUCAAUAUGACUUAAUAAAGACUCCUGUUAGGAAAGGGAAUGACUUGAAGGGAUUCAGCAGAGUUACCUGGAUAAGACAGUAUUAAUCUGUAAAGAAAUUUUCAAGAAUAGUGCAGAGGUUUUAUGAGUAUCUUAUAAAGAUGAAUCACUCUUUGUCUUUAAUUUAGGAUAGCUCCCUAUAUGUCACUAUCUGUUAGAACAUCAUGUCCAUUUUACAUUUGUAUUAUUUUCCUUUCUGCUUUAUGCUUGUCAGCACCUUGACAACACUAUCAGUCCCUACUGUUCCUGCCCAGCUCAGCCUUCCUCCAGCCUAAUAGUUGUCCAGACACUCCAUUUCUUCUGUCUAGGGCUCUCCUGCCCCAGCAAUGCCAUAGAAGGAACAGUCUGCAAGUAGCUUGUCUCUUACCCCAUCUCCUUUCGUUUCUUACUAGACAUACCAGCUCCAGUCUUGUCCCAUUUGGAGCACACUUAUUCUUGCUUCUCCCUGGUAAAUCUCCUAGCCCCAUCUCUUUACUACAGUAAUAAGGGUGUGAUUAGGUGUAUUCUGCCUUUGUAUUAUUUUUUUGACAAAUAAGAUAUUAUCCAGGAAAAAUAACUCUUACUCAACAUGUCUAUGCUGACAUAUUUGAUCAUUUUUAUGGUUUUAUUACUUUAAUUUACUUGUGUCCUGUCAACACUCCCAGAGGCACCCAAAAUGUGUAGAAAAAUACUUAAUACAAGCUUUAAUUUGAUAUUGUUUCUGUUACAAAAUAAAUCUUUUAUUUGUUCACAUUUUUUUUCUUUUUUAUUGUUUUAAUGGAAAGUGAAGCUUUUUGUGGAGAAUGUGUUUUAGGUUAAAUGCUGCUUGUGCAUUAUAUUCUUCUUUUAACUUUUUAACUUAAAAACGAUUCGCUACGUAUUUAAAUUUUUUUCUUCAGACUAUGCACAUUUUAUAUUAAAAUAAUAGUUUACUGAUUCCAGUGCAGAGCAUUAGGGGACUACAGAUAUCUUUAUUAGAUUGUGUUAGGACAACAGAGUAUCCAUGGCAUGUCAACCAUUAAUAAGAAAUAAAUGUGUUUCAUAUCUCUAAGUGUAACAAUUUACUCUAUCAACUUUGUAGUUGAGUGAUUAUGUAUUUCUCUGGAAAUUUCAAUGCUGUUUUCUGAAAAACUACUGUCAAAAACACAACCUCUGUGAUACUGUCAGCAUGAAGAAACCUCUUUAUAUUUUACUUGAGAAGGUUCUCCUUAUGAAUUCUUUAAAGAGAAACAUAACCUUUUUAGCUGUGAAUAAUUAAAAGUUAUGAUAAAUCUAUUUAGGAAGCAUUCAAGGUAAUGGAUUUUCAGACAGGAGAGUAUUUCUGCAUAGGUUUUACUUCCAUGGCUUUUUUUUUUUUUUUUUUUUUUUUGUAGUUAAGGCCACAAAACACUUGUGUGAAAUUAUGUACAUAUGUUAUAUGUUAAUAAACAGAAAACAUAUAAAACUAGAUGUAAAAUAUUUCAAUUGUUAUGAAAGCAUAUAAUUUCUCUUCUACAUCACUACUUAACUUAAAAAGGAGAAAAAAGAAGUAAAUGUUUUCUGAUCCAUUGCUUUUGAGUUUUCUUUAAAAGAAGAAUACCUUUUUCUUGUCAAUAUUCUUCAUAAAAAGUAAAGAAAAUAUGUUCCUUUCAGCAUAAUGAACCCAUCCUUUUUAUUCUUUUCAAGAGAUUUUUAACAAUGUCAUUAGUGGGGGGAAGCUGAUUCAAUUGCCUUUUUAUAAAUUCAGAAUAACUAGUCACAGAAUGAAAAUUUAAAAGUAAUUUUUUCUGAAGCUAGAAGAAAUUCUUUAUAUCUAUAAGCAGAGCUAAAACAUACAUAUAUUUCUUUCCCUCUGUUUUCACCAUUAAUCCACCCUGUCCCACUAGUCUUUCCAUAAUGAACAUGAAGCACUAUACACAUAUGAUGAUGAGGUUACACAGAAGCUGAGGUGGCAGGAAAUUGAAGGACACAAAACAAUCAAUAAGGAGAAAUGUGGGUCUGAUGUUGUUCCUUCACUGAAAGAAAAAGAUCAUCUUCAGAAAAACCAGUAGAAGGUAAAAACCUCCUCAGUAUGAGUAGGAACAAUUGAAAAAGUACAGUAAGGGAGUAGAACUGAGGAACUGUGAUUCAAAAGCCUUUUUGGAAUCUUCACAUUGAUAGCUAUGAAACAUCCUUUAAUCAAUUUAUAAUAUUACUUUCUAAAUAGCACAGAGGAAUAAUUUCUAUAUUUUCUCCUUCCUUUAGGAACAUAAUAAUUCCUAACUUUUGCAGAGCUGAAUCUGGUACUACUUUUUCAAUCACAACACUUUAUUUGUUUAAUAAUUUCUUUUUGUUAUAUUUAAAGAAGGGCAAAACUUUAGUUUCUUUAUUUGAAAAUGUCUGUAGACAAAGUUAAAAAGGCAUUUAUUACCUAUACUUUUGUUCUUCAAUAUUUUUAUGUUAAUGUCACCUUAAUGAAGGAGUAAAUCCAUUGUAUAUAGCCUGAAAAUUUAUGAAGAGCCAGGUUUUCCUAUUGAUAAAUGCUCUUUGUUAAUGAUCCAUUGGCUUGUCCCAGGGGAAAUAAAUUAUAUUUAUUUAUUUCUGAACAAACAGAAUGAACAAAACCAGCAAACUGAAGUUAAUAGAACAAUCAUCAUCAUAUCAUUUUCAAAAGAAAUUAUUUGUAGAUAAUUCACUGGGUAAAAAUUAUUCUCAAUCUUAGAAUGAUAUUUGUUAGGGUAAUGGACCAAAACUACAAGAGUUACUAUGAAAGUAGUGUCUCUUAUUUUUUUAUGUUGUCCCACAACAUCAGAGGUGAAUGUUGACUGUAUGGCAAUAAAAGUUGAACCUUUGCACCAAUAUUCUGUUGCCUUGUGACAGACAGCAGCAGGGGCAAUCUGACAAAAUGGUGUCUGCCUUGAAAGUGUGUAUGAAGCAGAGGUAUGUGAUUGAAUUCCUCCAUGAAGAAAAAAUGGCACCCACUGACAUUUGUCAAUGCUUGCUGAAUGUUUAUGGAGACCAAACAAUGUAGGUGAGCACGGUGAAGCAGUGGGUGGUGUGUUUCAGCAGUGGUGACAGUGACAGUGGAUCACCUCUGCUUGUGAAGACUUUUAUGAGAGUGGCAUGCAGACUCUUGUUCACUGCUGGUGAAAAUGCAUAACUAACAGUGGUGACUUUGUUGUAAAAUAGUGCUUUGUAGAUGAGAACUUGCUCAAUCAAAUAGUGUAAUUGUGCUCUUUCUGUCUGUUGAAUUUUCCAUUGAAAUAAAAAGGACACGUUAUUUUUGGAGCUACAUACGUGGGUAAAGAAAUGUAUUUAAAAUCAUAUAGUGUUGGCUAAAACCUGUGAGCAAAGUUUUAGGGUUUUUGUUUGUUUGGUUGGUUGGUUUUCGUUUUUUUUUUCAGCUAAAAAUAACUCAGAUCCUUGGCUUUUGUUGGCCAAGGCCACUUGUUUUACUGUUCUAUGGGGUUUUGUACAGCUGCUUUGAGGAAAGUCAUAGGGAUCCCUCUUCCAGGAGACUAAUUUCCUAGAACUUCAGAAAGCUUUCACCAUAAGAUACCAAGAUUUCUUCUAUCCACCAUACUGUUUCUUCUUUUUGAGGUAAUAUGUUAAUCACUGUUUCACUUUCUGCAGAUAUUGUGUUACAGAAGGUCUCACAUUUUAACAGCUAACAUUCAAGUCUUAGUGCAAAAAUACUUUAACCAUUUUCUUACCUUAUGGAAAAACAUAGAAUCAAACUGAAUGAAUACUGGACCAAUGACUGUAGCAGAGAAUGAUCAUCUUUUUAUUGCAUAGAUUGGUGGGGAAUUAAAUACUGACAGAAGAUGAGCCAGUGAAAUGGAAAUAGAGUUUUGACAAUACACACAGCUUCC